rnacentral:lncRNA from 1 species
UCUGACUUACCCUUCUGAAAUGUUUUUAAAAAAAAAAAAAAAACAUGAAUUUAGCAGAAAUGGAAUAGCUUUAUGCUCUGUUUGGUUUCUUAUUAUUUAUAAAAUCGGUGCCUAAUAUAUUAAUAACAUCAAUUUUCAGGUUUAUCAAUGUCUAUGUGGUGUGGUGUAAAGUAAAAUUUAGCACAGCACCAAAUAUCAAGAAUAUUAAUCAAAUUAAGCAUAAUAUAGCGCUCACAAAAUUUAAUUAAAUCAAUAUUCGUAAAGAUUUCCCAAGAACCCUGUACUUAGAUUCCAAAGCUAACUCCAAGUUAAGAAAACAUGCAAACUACGCCCCUUAUCUCCUCCAAUAAUUUCAUCACCACUCUCUCUCUCUCUCUCUCUCUAAGAGCAUCUCCAGCGCAAGGCCUUUAGCCAAGGUAGGAGGCCCCUUUUGAAGGGUUUGGACCUCCAACACGCAACCAACAGCUCGAGCAAGGCCUGGGUCUCACCAGCCCGGGCAAGCCCAAGGGCAGAUCUUGCUUGGGCUUCAGCCUAAAGGCGCUGACAUUAGCGGUGAUGUCACGCUGAC